rnacentral:rRNA from 1 species
UGGGGAAUAUUGGACAAUGGGCGCAAGCCUGAUCCAGCCAUGCCGCGUGAGUGAAGAAGGCCUUUGGGUUGUAAAGCACUUUAAGCGAGGAGGAGGCUAAUUGGAGUAAUACUCGAGGAUAGUGGACGUUACUCGCAGAAUAAGCACCGGCUAACUCUGUGCCAGCAGCCGCGGUAAUACAGAGGGGGCGAGCGUUAAUCGGAUUUACUGGGCGUAAAGCGUGCGUAGGCGGCUUCUUAAGUCGGAUGUGAAAUCCCUGAGCUUAACUUAGGAAUUGCAUUCGAUACUGGGAAGCUAGAGUAUGGGAGAGGAUGAUAGAAUUCCAGGUGUAGCGGUGACAUGCGUAGAGAUCUGGAGGAAUACCGAUGGCGAAGGCAGCCAUCUGGCCUAAUACUGACGCUGAGGUACGAAAGCAUGGGGAGCAAACCGG